rnacentral:rRNA from 1 species
UACGGAGGGUGCAAGCGUUAUCCGGAUUUACUGGGUUUAAAGGGUGCGUAGGUGGGUCUGUAAGUCAGUGGUGAAAUCUCCGAGCUUAACUCGGAAACUGCCAUUGAUACUAUAGGUCUUGAAUUAUCUGGAGGUAAGCGGAAUAUGUCAUGUAGCGGUGAAAUGCUUAGAUAUGACAUAGAACACCAAUUGCGAAGGCAGCUGGCUACACGGUAAUUGACACUGAGGCACGAAAGCGUGGGGAGCAAACAGG